rnacentral:rRNA from 1 species
CACAUGCAAGUCGAGCGGAAACGACACUAACAAUCCUUCGGGUGCGUUAAUGGGCGUCGAGCGGCGGACGGGUGAGUAAUGCCUAGGAAAUUGCCUUGAUGUGGGGGAUAACCAUUGGAAACGAUGGCUAAUACCGCAUAAUGCCUACGGGCCAAAGAGGGGGACCUUCGGGCCUCUCGCGUCAAGAUAUGCCUAGGUGGGAUUAGCUAGUUGGUGAGGUAAUGGCUCACCAAGGCGACGAUCCCUAGCUGGUCUGAGAGGAUGAUCAGCCACACUGGAACUGAGACACGGUCCAGACUCCUACGGGAGGCAGCAGUGGGGAAUAUUGCACAAUGGGCGAAAGCCUGAUGCAGCCAUGCCGCGUGUAUGAAGAAGGCCUUCGGGUUGUAAAGUACUUUCAGUUGUGAGGAAGGGGGUAGCGUUAAUAGCGCUAUCUCUUGACGUUAGCAACAGAAGAAGCACCGGCUAACUCCGUGCCAGCAGCCGCGGUAAUACGGAGGGUGCGAGCGUUAAUCGGAAUUACUGGGCGUAAAGCGCAUGCAGGUGGUUCAUUAAGUCAGAUGUGAAAGCCCGGGGCUCAACCUCGGAACUGCAUUUGAAACUGGUGAACUAGAGUACUGUAGAGGGGGGUAGAAUUUCAGGUGUAGCGGUGAAAUGCGUAGAGAUCUGAAGGAAUACCAGUGGCGAAGGCGGCCCCCUGGACAGAUACUGACACUCAGAUGCGAAAGCGUGGGGAGCAAACAGGAUUAGAUA